CACGACGCAACGAUCAAAGUGUUGAUUUAUCUCUCUGACUUUGCGUUGCUGGUGCACAUUGCACCACGGCGCUGAGGUCACAGUGCAGAGCAACUGUGAAACCGCAGCUCACAAAUAUCACAUUCUUGCGAAAAUAACGUUAGCCGGUUCCAUUUUAAGUCUUCAAAUGUUUGGAUUUUCUGUUUCCUCCGCUGCAGAACGCUCGUGGUGAUUCAUCAAGAAAAACAAAUGGUCGACUUCAAAUUGGGCUUCUUGUUGGAACGUGACGGGGGCCUUUGAGAAGCAUCACCUGUUCCACACAAAUCCAACGGCCUUGUCUCUGCCCUGCCAGCUGCUGACAGCACGAGUCACUUUGAGUUGCUAUCAGCUCCAUCCUCCCAGCAUCCUCUGAGGAAGGAAGCAGGGCCAGGCUGCACCAGAGCCCCGCAAGCUUUGCAUCACCAUCUCCUGCAGGGACACUGGUUAUUUUUGGACCAAGGGCGGAUCACAUUACGACGGCGAAGAGGACCCCUCGGACAGGAAAUCGCCCAGCACGCCACCCAGCAGGUCCCGUUGGCUCUCAGCCGACCCGACUGUGAUUCGGCCUCAUAUGCAGACGUCGGUCAGGGAGAGAAACGCCUCACAGAACAAGAGACCCGUCUCCAGCGACGGGUGACCUCUAAAAUCCCAUCAGCCCCGGUGGGACACGACCUGCACGCUGUCGCUGUGUGCAAAAAGGGCAGCAAGCUGAGGAAGCCAGGAAACAGAAGCUCACAUUGGAACAAAUGGAUCAAUGGUGUGAUUUGUCUCCUCCGUCAUCCCAAUUUGACACCUCACCCCCUCCCUCCCCCCUCCGAGAGUGUGUUUGAACCCCCCCCCCUCCCGCCUGGCGUGGAUCACGAGCCCGGGGUCAGAGCGAGGGAGGUGCAACAAGAGAAGGAACACCUGCGUGACCUCGGCCCGCCCCUCCGCCUAAAGAACCCCACCCACGGGAGAACAUGGCUCGGAUUGAACAUGGGACUUUCAAUCUGCCAUAUUUUCUCAGAACUGAAAAGGGUCUACUGGGCCGGUCAGUCGACGGCCUCAGAGGGCCGCUGCAGCGGGGCCAAACAGCUGUGCCGAGCGGGGCGAGAGGCCGUGGACAGUGG
ensembl:lncRNA